rnacentral:rRNA from 1 species
CCUCGGGAGGCAGCAGUGGGGGAUAUUGCACAAUGGGGGGAACCCUGAUGCAGCGACGCCGCGUGGUUGAAGGAGCGUUUCGGCGCGUAAAGCCCUAUCGGCAGGGGAGAAGAUGACGGUACUUGACCAUGAAGCCCCGGCUAACUACGUGCCAGCAGCCGCGGCAAUACGUAGGGGGUAAGCGUUAUCCGGAUUUACUGGGUGGAAUGGGGGCGCUGACGGCGAUGACAGCCAGGAGUGAAAGCCUCGGGCCCAACCCCGGGACUGCUCUUGGAACUGCAUGGCUGGAGUACAGGAGGGGCAGGCGGAAUGCCUAGUGUAGCGGUGAAAUGCGUAGAUAUUAGGAAGAACACCAGUGGCGAAGGCGGCCUGCUGGACUGUGACUGACGUUGAGGCCCGAAGGCGUGGGGAGCAAACAGGAUUAGAUACCCCUGUAGUC